GAUGAACGCUGGCGGCGUGCCUAAUACAUGCAAGUCGAGCGAACAGAUAAGGAGCUUGCUCCUUUGAAGUUAGCGGCGGACGGGUGAGUAACACGUGGGUAACCUACCUAUAAGACUGGGAUAACUUCGGGAAACCGGAGCUAAUACCGGAUAACAUUUAGAACCGCAUGGUUCUAAAGUGAAAGAUGGUUUUGCUAUCACUUAUAGAUGGACCCGCGCCGUAUUAGCUAGUUGGUAAGGUAACGGCUUACCAAGGCGACGAUACGUAGCCGACCUGAGAGGGUGAUCGGCCACACUGGAACUGAGACACGGUCCAGACCCCUACGGGAGGCAGCAGUAGGGAAUCUUCCGCAAUGGGCGAAAGCCUGACGGAGCAACGCCGCGUGAGUGAUGAAGGGUUUCGGCUCGUAAAACUCUGUUAUUAGGGAAGAACAAAUGUGUAAGUAACUGUGCACAUCUUGACGGUACCUAAUCAGAAAGCCACGGCUAACUACGUG
rnacentral:rRNA from 1 species